rnacentral:rRNA from 1 species
GACGAACCGUGCGAACGUUGUUCGGAAUCACUGGGCUUAAAGGGCGCGUAGGCGGGCGAUCAAGUCAGGGGUGAAAUCCUCCAGCUUAACUGGAGAACUGCCUCUGAUACUGGUCAUCUUGAGUGAGGUAGGGGCGUGCGGAACUGAUGGUGGAGCGGUGAAAUGUGUUGAUAUCAUCAGGAACUCCGGUGGCGAAGCGGCGACGCUGGACCUUAACGUG